UGCUCUUUGCAGCCUUUUGGCUAAGAUCAAAGUGUAGUAUGUGUUCUUAUCAUCGUAAUAUCUGAUAUGGUCCCUAUUUGGGGCCAUCGAUAUUAAACUGAUUUUUAGAACGAGGCGAAGUGUUAGGGUCUUGCUCCACCUUUGCCACGGGUUGGCCUGGUAUUGCAGUGCCUUCCAAGCAUUUGUAAAAAUCCA